AGCGAACGCUGGCGGCAGGCCUAACACAUGCAAGUCGAACGAACCCUUCGGGGUUAGUGGCGGACGGGUGAGUAACACGUGGGAACGUGCCUUUAGGUUCGGAAUAACUCCGGGAAACUUGUGCUAAUACCGAAUGUGCCCUUCGGGGGAAAGAUUUAUCGCCUUUAGAGCGGCCCGCGUCUGAUUAGCUAGUUGGUGAGGUAAUGGCUCACCAAGGCUACGAUCAGUAGCUGGUCUGAGAGGAUGACCAGCCACAUUGGGACUGAGACACGGCCCAAACUCCUACGGGAGGCAGCAGUGGGGAAUCUUGCGCAAUGGGCGAAAGCCUGACGCAGCCAUGCCGCGUGGAUGAUGAAGGUCUUAGGAUUGUAAAAUCCUUUCACCGGUGAAGAUAAUGACUGUAGCCGGAGAAGAAGCCCCGGCUAACUUCGUGCCAGCAGCAGCCGCAGUAA
rnacentral:rRNA from 1 species